UUUAUCCCUUUGAAUAGAUUUUUAUUGGCUAUAAAAUUAUUUCUCUAAAAGUUUAGACCUCAUAAGUAAAUCAACAAUAUUAGUUUUUAUUUUUAUACUUGGCAAUUGAAAAAGGGAGAGGUGUAAAGUUAUUUGGAUCAACAAAAAGGGUUGGAGAUUUGAGACAACGUGAAGAUAUUGGUAUCUCGUUGGUUGAUUAAAGGCAUAGUUAGAAUUGUUGAGAAUAAGUUUUCUAGAUUAGCUAGGAGGGGUGGAAUAAAAUGAACUCAAGCUGAGUUGGGAGAUUGAAGAGUUUUGAUGUCUAGAUUUUAUUGUUUAUGAAUAUUGUAAUUGUGGAUUAUUUAUAAGGUGUGAUUAUGUUUAA